GGGAAAGAUGCCGCUGCUAGAUCCUCCACACUCUCUCUCCCUUGACGUGAAUCCCCAUAUUAUCCCCAUGAAUUUCAGCCUCAACUCUCUAAUCCCCCUCUGUGUGUGUGUUCUUUUGGCUUGCAGGUCAAACCCUAUUGGGGAUGUGAUUUCCCUGCUCCUGAUUGAAGUGGUUGGCGUUGGGCGCCGCCGUGAUGCUGGAUGGUGCAGGUCAGAGCUCCAGUGCGUGUCCGUGGAGCAGAUCCACCAUGGGUGCAGGGGAAUGGAAAUGCUACUGAGAAGAAGAAGAGAGCUUGGUCUGGCUAUUUGGAAGCAGAGUGAAGAAUGUGCUACGGUGAAACCUUAGCCAGAACCGAAUGGUCCUUGUCCUGAGCUUGCGGUCUUCAACUUCUAAGAUCUUCAAUGGUCGUUCUUCAUACGUCAGGGUCUUUUGGAGAUGGGUGAUGCCCCAGGCAUUAAAACAAUGCUGAACUCUGACUCCCUAUCA